AGAAAACCAACGCAAACGAGACAAACUUGGGUCCGACCCUGCUUAAUUUCCUCCGUCCACUGUUCUUUCAAAUAUCUCCAGAUCCACCCAGAACAACUCAAGACUUGCCAAAUCCGACGCCGCCGAAUCAAGAUCCACCCACCGUCGUCAACCUCGGAGCAGAGCGACAUGCCAUCUUCUUCAUCCUCCUGCCCAGUUUUCAAGACCCUUUCGCCGUCGCGCCUCAAGAACCUCCUCCUCGCCCUCGCCCUCUUCUGCAUCUUCUACCUCCUCCUCUCCAACUACCGCCGGGCCGCCUUCCUCCUCCAAGAUCCCCCCGUCCUCCCCCCGCAAGCCACCCCCGCGACCCCUACCUCCCGCCGCCACCUCCUCUUCGCCGUCGCCUCCUCCUCCCUCUCCUUCCCCCGCCGCCGCACUUACCUCCGCCUCUGGUACUCCCCAAACUCCACCCGCGCCAUCGCCUUCCUCGACCGCCUCCCCGAUGGCGGCGAACCCGCCCCGGACCUCCCCCCCACCGUAGUCUCCGAGGACACCUCCCGGUUCCCGUACACUUUCCCCGGGGGCCUCCGGUCGGCGAUUCGGGUGGCCCGGGUCGUCAAGGAGGCCGUGGACCGGGGCGAACCGGGGGUCCGGUGGUACGUGUUUGGGGACGACGACACGGUGUUCUUCGUGGACAAUUUGGUCAGUGUGCUGUCCAAGUAUGAUCACACCAAGUGGUACUAUAUUGGGAGCAAUUCGGAGAGCUACGAGCAGAAUAUCAAGCACUCGUUCGACAUGGCCUUCGGGGGCGGUGGAUUUGCGAUAAGUAGGUCACUUGCGGUUGCGUUGGCUCGGGUCCUGGACUCGUGCCUUGUGCGGUACUCGCAUUUGUAUGGAAGCGAUGCCAGGAUCUUCUCGUGCUUGGCGGAGUUGGGGGUCGGCUUGACUCAUGAGCCCGGGUUCCAUCAGGUUGAUAUGCGAGGGAAUUUGUUUGGCUUGUUGACUGCUCAUCCAUUGUCACCGUUGGUGUCCCUUCAUCAUUUGGAUGCGGUGGAUCCAAUCUUCCCUGACAUGAAUAGAACCCAAGGUUGGGAGCUUCUUUUUGAAGCUGUAAGUGUUGACCCUGCCAGGGUUUUGCAACAAAGUGUCUGCUAUGAUCGUACGAAUUUGUUGACUAUUUCUGUUUCGUGGGGCUAUGCUGUCCGGGUUUUUGAGGGCAAUGAGCUUCUUCCGGACCUCCUUGCAUUGCAGAGAACCUUCACACCGUGGAGAAGGGGUAUUAGUGCCGGUUCAAGUCACUAUAUGUUCAACAUGAGGGAAUUUCCCAAGGAUCCCUGCAAAAGACCUGUUACGUUCUUUUUGCAUAGUAUUUUAUCUGACGAGAAUGGUGUCCAGAGCAACUAUGAGGGGCAGAUCGUCGGGCAUUGUAUCAGAGGAAACACAUUGAAGAAUCUAAAAAAGAUCACUGUGUUUUCAAGGAAGCUAGAGCAUGAUAUUGAACAGAUGAAUGCCCUGCGUCGUCAGUGCUGUGACGUUCUACCCAUCGUUAAUGGAUUGAUGGUUAUCCAUAUUAGAAAAUGCGGUGAUAACGAACUUAUUUCAAUGCAUUUAUAGUUGGCUUCUGCUGGAGCAAUGAAGAGUUCCUCACUGGAAGCUGAAGCAGCUCUCAUGACUAUCUUGGAGCUGCUAAAGUCAAAAUAGUAAACUGUCAAGAAUGAGAAGAUUCUUUCUUGUGGAGAGAUAGAGUGAAGGUGCUUGAGACAUAUUAGGCAGCAUGUCGCAAGAACUCCCGUUAGUUUAGGUCUUCGAGGUAGAUUAGUAGUUUACACAGUGAUGUGGCAGACUCUUGUUUGUUAUAAUACCCAUCACUUUGUAAAUCGAUAUCAUGGACUGGCCUUUGUAUCACUAGCAUUACUGUUGGAGGCACUGCCAUCCGUGCUUUGUGUUGCUGGGCAUUUGGAGCGAAUUAUCUCUCGCUCGCAGACUGCUGGGCUGGGUUGUAAAGGUGAAAGGCGGGUUGACUCUUCUUGCACAGGCUAUUCAAGAGUGAUUCGAAGGCGGAAAGCUAUUUUGCUCGUUGACUUAUGACUUAUCUUAAGGAGGAAUCGUCUGAAGAGAUUGGAUGCGAGGUUGCAGUGCAGUAGAGGCAUAGCGUUGCUGAGCAAUGUAAUAUAAUGGUUUCCAAAUUUUGCGAAAGAGCUGAUGUUUUUCAAUUGAUUGAAAUAAGUUGCUCUGGAAAUUUAGAAGUUGACACGAUUGGUGCAAUCUAUACUAAGUCGAUUGUUUUGCUACACAUGAAUAUUCUGGUUUGUGGAUAUGGCAAUGAUAAGCUCUCAAAUUUGGGGGCAUGAAUUCCAUUCU